rnacentral:tRNA from 2 species
GGACCCGUAGUGUAGUCGGUUUAACACGCAUCCCUGUCAAGGAUGAGAUCGCCGGUUCGAAUCCGGUCGGGUCCG